rnacentral:rRNA from 1 species
GAUGAACGCUAGCUACAGGCUUAACACAUGCAAGUCGAGGGGCAGCAUGAUUGAAGCUUGCUUCAAUCGAUGGCGACCGGCGCACGGGUGAGUAACACGUAUCCAACCUGCCGAUAACUCGGGGAUAGCCUUUCGAAAGAAAGAUUAAUACCCGAUAGCAUAGUAUUUCCGCAUGGUUUCACUAUUAAAGAACUUCGGUUAUCGAUAGGCAUGCGUUCCAUUAGGCAGUUGGCGGGGUAACGGCCCACCAAACCGACGAUGGAUAGGGGUUCUGAGAGGAAGGUCCCCCACAUUGGUACUGAGACACGGACCAA